rnacentral:lncRNA from 1 species
GUCCGCAGCGCGGGCCCGCCCGGCCCUGAGGGGCGCGGCGGCGGCGGGCGGGGCACGGAGCCACCGAGGCACGGAGCCACGGCAUCGCUCCGGUGGGAGCGGCUGCUGCGGCCAUCGGGGCCAGCCUGCCACCCAACACCGUCUUGUCAGCCAGACCAGAGUCCUCGGUCGCAGGAAGACGGAUUCUUCAGGCACUUUCCCCACCACAGGCUGCGGAUCCCAAGGCCAUUGAACCCUCUGGGACCUGGACACUGGAGCUCCCGUCCUGCCUUCUCCCUUAUCUCUGUGUUUGGCAGGUGUCUGGCCAUGGAUUUCACACUUCCACUGACCUCUGAGCGCUGCCAAGGCGAGGGAGGCACAUCGGGCAGAUAACGUCCCCAUUCCACCUCCACCUCCCCAAGGCCCUUAGGCUCUGGGGAGACUUAUUUAAAAAUAUGCCAGAUUUAAGGUCUGUCUCAAGGCAAAUAAAAACUGUGGAUUGUUUAAAUCA